rnacentral:rRNA from 1 species
GUGGGCCCAAAUUACAAGGUGGGCUGUUGGCGGCGGACGGGUGAGUAACACGUGGAUAACCUACCUAUAAGACUGGGAUAACUUCGGGAAACCGGAGCUAAUACCGGAUAAUAUUUUGAACCGCAUGGUUCAAAAGUGAAAGACGGUCUUGCUGUCACUUAUAGAUGGAUCCGCGCUGCAUUAGCUAGUUGGUAAGGUAACGGCUUACCAAGGCAACGAUGCAUAGCCGACCUGAGAGGGUGAUCGGCCACACUGGAACUGAGACACGGUCCAGACUCCUACGGGAGGCAGCAGUAGGGAAUCUUCCGCAAUGGGCGAAAGCCUGACGGAGCAACGCCGCGUGAGUGAUGAAGGUCUUCGGAUCGUAAAACUCUGUUAUUAGGGAAGAACAUAUGUGUAAGUAACUGUGCACAUCUUGACGGUACCUAAUCAGAAAGCCACGGCUAACUACGUGCCAGCAGCCGCGGUAAUACGUAGGUGGCAAGCGUUAUCCGGAAUUAUUGGGCGUAAAGCGCGCGUAGGCGGUUUUUUAAGUCUGAUGUGAAAGCCCACGGCUCAACCGUGGAGGGUCAUUGGAAACUGGAAAACUUGAGUGCAGAAGAGGAAAGUGGAAUUCCAUGUGUAGCGGUGAAAUGCGCAGAGAUAUGGAGGAACACCAGUGGCGAAGGCGACUUUCUGGUCUGUAACUGACGCUGAUGUGCGAAAGCGUGGGGAUCAAACAGGAUUAGAUACCCUGGUAGUCCACGCCGUAAACGAUGAGUGCUAAGUGUUAGGGGGGGUUUCCCCCCCCUUAGGUGCUGAAGU